GCUGCAAGUCCUGCCUCUCCCAUUGGUUAUACCCACGUGGGUGAUUGAAAGACGAACUGUUUUGCCGGUCGUCGUGGUAAUACUAUGAAAGUGUAGAUGCCAAUUGCCAUAUAAGUACAAAGAUGAAAGCCGGGAAGGAGGAGAGAUGACUAGAAACAUUCGGUUGGCCGUUUUAUGUGUGGAUUAAUUAUCGGAGUAAAGGACCUUGUGCAUUUCAGCUCAUUUGUAACAACUGGUCAUAGAACGUUAAAGUGACGCAAUUCCAUCGAUUUCCCACUUCAGAAGAAGGCAUCCGAUCAGUGCAGCAGAAAAGAAGUCGAGCUGAGAUGGCUAAGUUAACCCUACUUUCAUAUGUGUGUAUUGUUAUAUACUACUGCACUGUUGGAGCUAGGAACACAAGCCUUUCACUACAACCGCAAUAACACCUGCUAAAUGUGUAGAUGAACAAUAAAACAUUUGAUUUGAA